rnacentral:SRP_RNA from 1 species
CCGUGUCUGAUCUGCAGCCGAUCGUUGGUCCUGUGCGAUGCGGCCCGUGAACCCCGUCAGGUCCGGAAGGAAGCAGCGGUAAGCGGCCACCCGCAGGUGCCGCAGGGAAACCUGCGACGGUUGCAGAUCAGGCACGG